AAGUCGUAACAAGGUUUCCGUAGGUGAACCUGCGGAAGGAUCAUUAACACGUAUCCAAACGUUAAAACCCCCCGUGAACCUUCAUCGUUCUCGUACUCUUUGGAUCAUUCAGACAUUCCUGGUAAAUCAUCGCCAACGGGUUUUGAUUCAGGUGACUUCUGCGUGAGUAAAGUAGUACCAUUGAACGUCAAGUGCUUCCGCAUAAUUGAGUCUGAAAGUGGCAAGUCUGAAAGUGGCAUCAGUUAUGUAUCGAAUGGCGCAGUAACGAUCACUAGAGGCCAACACGGCCGGUGACCGGGUCAGCGGCUACGGCCCCCUAUCACCUGUGCAUGAAAACGGGCCUGCGCUUAAUUGUGCGGCCACCAAAACUCGAACAACUGUUAACAAUGGAUAUCUUGGUUCUC
rnacentral:misc_RNA from 1 species